rnacentral:rRNA from 1 species
UACGGGGGGGGCAAGCGUUGUUCGGAAUUACUGGGCGUAAAGGGCGCGUAGGCGGCUCGCUAAGUCGGAUGUGAAAACUCUGGGCUCAACCCAGAGCCUGCAUUCGAAACUGACGAGCUCGAGUUCUGGAGGGGAAAGCGGAAUUCCUGGUGUAGCGGUGAAAUGCGUAGAUAUCAGGAGGAACACCCGUGGCGAAAGCGACUCUCUGGCCUGUAACUGACGCUGAGGCGCGAAAGCUAGGGGAGCAAACGGG